GACGAACGCUGGCGGCGUGCUUAACACAUGCAAGUCGAACGGUGAAGCUCCAGCUUGCUGGAGUGGAUCAGUGGCGAACGGGUGAGUAACACGUGAGCAACCUGCCCCUGACUCUGGAAUAAGCGCUGGAAACGGCGUCUAAUACUGGAUACGAGAAGGGUCCGCAUGGGCACUUUCUGGAAAGUUUUUCGGUUGGGGAUGGGCUCGCGGCCUAUCAGCUUGUUGGUGAGGUAAUGGCUCACCAAGGCGACGACGGGUAGCCGGCCUGAGAGGGCGACCGGCCACACUGGGACUGAGACACGGCCCAGACUCCUACGGGAGGCAGCAGCGGGGAAUAUUGCACAAUGGGCGAAAGCCUGAUGCAGCGACGCCGCGUGAGGGAUGACGGCCUUCGGGUUGUAAACCUCUUUCAGCAGGGAAGAAGCGAAAGUGACGGUACCUGCAGAAGAAGCACCGGCUAACUACGUG
rnacentral:rRNA from 1 species